CCCUUAGAUGUCCUGGGCCGCACGCGCGCUACACUGGUACACGCAACGAGUCUAUCACCUUGGUCGGCAGGCCCGGGUAAUCUGCGAACGUGUACCGUGAUUGGGAUAGAUUGUUGCAAUUUUCAAUCUUGAACGAGGAAUUCCUAGUAAACGCAAGUCAUCAGCUUGCAUUGAUUACGUCCCUGCCCUUUGUACACACCGCCCGUCGCACCUACCGAUUGAAUGGUUCGGUGAAAUCCUCGGACUUUGGCACGCAAGCCUCACGGCGAACGUGCCGAGGGAAGUUGAUUAAACCUCAUCAUUUAGAGGAAGGUGAAGUCGUAACA
rnacentral:rRNA from 1 species